rnacentral:tRNA from 1 species
GGCUCGUUAGCUUAGCUGGUUAAAGCGCUGGACUCAUAAGCCAGAGAUCGGUGGUUCGAUUCCACCACGAGCUACCA